rnacentral:rRNA from 1 species
AACGAACGCUGGCGGCAUGCCUAACACAUGCAAGUCGAACGAGACCUUCGGGUCUAGUUGCGCACGGGUGCGUACCGCGUGGUAACCUGCCCUUAGGUUCGGAAUAACUCCCCGAAAGGGGUGCUAAUACCGGAUAAUGUCUUCGGACCAAAGAUUUAUCGCCCUUGGAUGGGCCCGCGUUGGAUUAGCUAGUUGGUAGGGUAAAAGCCUACCAAGGCGACGAUCCAUAGCUGGUCUGAGAGGAUGAUCAGCCACACUGGGACUGAGACACGGCCCAGACUCCUACGGGAGGCAGCAGUGGGGAAUAUUGGACAAUGGGCGAAAGCCUGAUCCAGCAAUGCCGCGUGAGUGAUGAAGGCCUUAGGGUUGUAAAGCUCUUUUACCCGGGAUGAUAAUGACAGUACCGGGAGAAUAAGCUCCGGCUAACUCCGUG